rnacentral:misc_RNA from 1 species
CCGAGUUAGGGUCCUUUUGGGCCCGACCUCCCAACCCUUUGUUUACUUGACCCACGUUGCUUCGGCGAGCCCGUCCCUUCCCGGGACCGCUGGAGGGCCUCUUUUGGCCUUCUGGUCCGCGCUCGUCGAUGGCCAACCUUAUUAAACUCUUAAUUAAACGUGUCUUAUCUGAGUACCAAUUUUUAAUUAAAGCA